GCGGGGGGCUUCAGAGUCCCUGAGAGUCGGUACCCACAGGUCCAGGCGGGGGGCUUCAGAGUCCCUGAGAGUCGGUACCCACAGGUCCAGGCGGGGGGCUUCAGAGUCCCUGAGAGUCGGUACCCACAGGCCCAGGCGGAGCUUCAGAGUCCCUGAGAGUCGGUACCCACAGGCCCAGGCGGGGCUUCAGAGUCCCUGAGAGUCGGUACCCACAGGCCCAGGAGGGGCUUCAGAGUCCCUGAGAGUCGGUACCCACAGGUCCAAAUUGGGCUUCAGAGUCCCUAAG